AUUCAUUCCAAACUUUGUUAAAAAUGCUCCCCCAAAGUCGUAGCUCCAGGCUAAAUUCCACUUAUGCUGAGAUGUUGAGCACUGAACUCCUGACAUCAUCAAAUGGGAUUCAUCUGUGUCAGAAAGGUAGGGAGAUGGAGCCUGGCUCACAUCACCACAUGGACUUGCUGCUCAUUCCUGUCUUUCUUCAUGAUGGAUACAAUCCUUCCUGUCCAAACCACAUGUCAGAAAUCCACCUCCCAAACCCUCCUGCCAUGCAAAAAAUUACCUGUUCCUGUUGUGUUAGCAUUUCUGGCUUUAUCUACAAGGGAGGGUACAGAGCUGGAACUUGUGGAUGGCUGAGCUCCUGGCCAAGUGCUUCAGAUUCAUAUCUUGGCUUUAUAGCUGGUAAAUGUCAUGACCGAGGCAAAAGGGAGACUGUUCUGUCUCUCUCUUGAAGUGGAGGGAACAUCAAAACCUUACAGGCAGGUGGAAGCCAAGGGACAGGAAGUAUGUGUGUGCUUUGUGUGGUGACAUGCAGCUGUAAUUUGCAAAGGCCAUGGUUGCACUGAAGGGGAGACUCUUCAGUCAUCCCCCGCUAAAGCAGACAGUGUGUCAGAGCCCUCCCCCUGCUGCCAACCUCCCACAUGUUGAUGAGGCAGGUGAAUCACUGUACCAUCACCCACUGGAUAGCCAAGGAUACCUCCCACACUAUCUGUGGACUUGUCUAUGCCAAACUGAUUGGCAGACCAGAGACCACCGCAGCCUCAGUAAUGGCUGUACAUGGUGCAGCACACCAGACCACACAGGAGCUGUACAAGUUCUCCAGAGAAGUGGUGGCAGCCUUGACUCUGUACUAAUGGGAGUAUGGUAUUCACAGGACCUGCUGGCACCACUGAAUCAAGAACUGCAGGGCACUCGGGAUGCACUGCAGCCCAGAAGUGAACUUGAUUAACCUUUAUCA